AACGAACGCUGGCGGCAUGCCUAACACAUGCAAGUCGAACGAGACCUUCGGGUCUAGUGGCGCACGGGUGCGUAACGCGUGGGAACCUGCCCUUAGGUUCGGAAUAACUCCCCGAAAGGGGUGCUAAUACCGGAUAAUGUCUUCGGACCAAAGAUUUAUCGCCUUUGGAUGGGCCCGCGUUGGAUUAGCUAGUUGGUAGGGUAAAAGCCUACCAAGGCGACGAUCCAUAGCUGGUCUGAGAGGAUGAUCAGCCACACUGGGACUGAGACACGGCCCAGACUCCUCCGGGAGGAGGCAGUGGGGAAUAUUGGACAAGGGGCGAAAGCCGGACCCAGCAAUGCCGGGGGGGUGAUGAAGGCUUUAGGGUUGUAAAGCUCUUUUACCCGGGAUGAUAAUGACAGUCCCGGGAGAAAAAGCCCCGGCUAACCCCGG
rnacentral:rRNA from 1 species